GUACCCCACUGCUGCUUGCGGAAGCCACCGCAUCUCUCCGCCAUAGCUUGCCCACGCGUGUGCGAGCAACCAUAGCUCCCCCGCCGAUGGCCCAUGCCUUGCUGAUGCCUGCGCGAGCCACUGUGGUUCGUCGCCGGUGCUCGUCCAUGUCUGUAGGCGCCGGCGCAGCUCGUCCUCGCCUCGCGGAUACCUACACAAGCCACCGCAGCUUGCCGCGGGUUCUCCCACACGCCCGCGCGCGACAGCGCAGCUCUCCGCGGGUGCUUGCCCUCCCCUGCGCGCAUCGGCGCAGAUCGCCCUCCCCUGCUGGAGAAGCAUUCUAGUGGCGAGACUGGUGCUGAAGAGAAGGUGGAUGCCUUGUGCAGGUCCUGAGCAAGUGGCUUAAUGGCAGCAACGGCCGGAGGAGGAGAUGGAUGCGUAUGCAGGUCCUGAAGGUGUUGAAUGCAAGCAACAUUGAUGACUUCCGGGUAGAACCAGGGUGGCUUCCUGGCGUCGCCGAGAGUAGCUCUGCCAUUGAGUCGCUGGAUCUACUUGCAAGUAGUGGAGCGCCCUAACUCAUUCAGAUCCUCGCCUUCCACGGCCAGGCGACCGACCGUGGAGCACCACAUGACGUUCCUCUUGGCGGCCAUAACCAAUCGGCAGACCUGCCUGCAGCCCGACAUCCGCCAGAUCUUGCUUCCUUGGCCAAGAAGCUGCCCACUAGUCCUUGCGGCGUGGUGCCAGGAAGAAGAAACAGGGGUGCAGCGGCGGCGACGGCCAUCAAUCGGCGGCAGCGGCGGGAGCAUGCUGUUGCACCACGCUUCUACUGUGCAGUUGGCUAGCUUAAUAGCGCAAGGUGAGAUCCCAACGGGCUAAGAGCAUGUACAAUGCAUAGCCUCAAGGUGAUGCCUCGCAUGCCAUAUAGGAUUGGAUAUGACGUAAAGUAGGUUCGGAUAGGGAAGCGGGAUCCUCUUCAGGAGGCGGGUGCUUGAAGAGAAAAAGUGUGGUCCGGUGACAAAAGCUGAAAAGGUUGGAAUGAAAAGUAGAGAUGCAUGUGUACUAGAGUUUUUAUUUUCUAUUAGAAAAUGUGCCCGUGCGUUGCAACGGAAUAAAUAAAUAUUUUCAUGUCCCUAGUGGUGACACAUCCGUAUUGCCGUGUCUCCUCUUCAUCAUCGUUGUCAAUGAUAGUCACGUUAUUCACUUACUCAUGAUAAAAGUGGUCAAUCCUAAGGCAAUGGGCUUGCUUACUCUAGAAUGCCACUUCAUGAGCUCCUUUCUACAACGACUUGUAAUUCUAUGGACUUAUGAUGAUGGUGCACGCCAUUUUUAUCUCA